rnacentral:rRNA from 1 species
CCUACGGGCGGCAGCAGUGGGGAAUAUUGCACAAUGGGGGAAACCCUGAUGCAGCAACGCCGCGUGGGUGAAGGAGCGCUUCGGCGCGUAAAGCUCUGUCAGCGGGGAAGAAGAAAGACGGUACCCGUCCAAGAAGCACUGACUAACUACGUGCCAGAAGCCGCGGUAAUACGGAGGGGGCGAGCGUCACCCGGAAUUACUGGGUGUAAAGGGAGCGUAGACGGUGUGGUAAGACUGGAGUGGAAGCCCGCGGCCCAACAGGGGAACUGCUUUGGGAACUGUUAUGCUGGAGUAUGGGAGGGGUAAGCGGAAUGCCUGGUGUAGCGGUGAAAUGCGUAGAUAUCAGGAGGAACACCGGUGGCGAAGGCGACUUACUGGACCAUAACUGACGUUGAGGCUCGAAAGCGUGGGGAGCGAACAGGAUUAGAUACCCUUGUAGUC